rnacentral:misc_RNA from 1 species
GAUGAAGAACGCAGCGAAAUGCGAUACGUAAUGUGAAUUGCAGAAUUCAGUGAAUCAUCGAGUCUUUGAACGCACAUUGCGCCCCCUGGUAUUCCGGGGGGCAUGCCUGUCCGAGCGUCAUUGCUGCCCUCAAGCACGGCUUGUGUGUUGGGCCUCCGUCCUCCUCCCGGGGGACGGGCCCGAAAGGCAGCGGCGGCACCGCGUCCGGUCCUCGAGCGUAUGGGGCUUCGUCACCCGCUCUUGUAGGCCCGGCCGGCGCUUGCCGACACAUCAAUCUUUUUUCCAGGUUGACCUCGGAUCAGAUAGGGAUACCCGCUGAACUUAAGCAUAUCAAUAAGCGGAGGA